GAAAUGCGAUAAGUAAUGUGAAUUGCAGAAUUCCGUGAAUCAUCGAAUCUUUGAACGCACAUUGCGCCCUCUGGUAUUCCGGGGGGCAUGCCUGUCCGAGCGUCAUUGCGAACCCCUCAAGCACGGCUUGUGUGAUGGGCCCUCCCGCGUCUUGGUCGUCAAGACGGGCCCGAAAUGCAGUGGCGGCUUCGCGGUUAUCAGAUCAGCCAGAGCGUAUGGGGACUUUCUCUCUGUCACACGCCCGCGGCGCGGACCGACGCCUGUCGACCUUCAUUCAUCGUUUUCUCGGUUGACCUCGGAUCAGGUAGGGAUACCCGCUGAACUUAAGC
rnacentral:misc_RNA from 1 species